GACGGAGGGUGCGAGCGUUAAUCGGAAUUACUGGGCGUAAAGCGCAUGUAGGCGGCCGAACAAGUCAGGUGUGAAAUCCUCGGGCUUAACCUGGGAAGUGCACUUGAUACUGUCCGGCUAGAGUUUGGCAGAGGAAAGUAGAAUUCCCGGUGUAGUGGUGAAAUGCGUAGAUAUCGGGAGGAAUACCAGUGGCGAAGGCGGCUUUCUGGGCCAAUACUGACGAUGAGGUGCGAAAGAGUGGGGAGCAAACAGG
rnacentral:rRNA from 1 species